GUCAACCGCAGGUUAUUAUCGGAGUCUCCGGGUUAUUAAAGGCGACUCCAGAGUGCAUAAGAUUCUUGUUGUGUAAAGGUCAUCUCAGGAUGUUCAGGGUCUUGCUGCUCCUGUUGGCCGUGGCGGGUCUCCAUGCAAGACCACUGCACCGAUUCCCAAAUGGUAAAUUAAAACAAAUUGGGCCACAAAUGGUCCAAGAUGAACACAGGGAUAGCUCAGUUCUGAAGCACAUGAACACUGAUGUGAAACCCAAGAAGCAAUUACCAGUUCCCGCUGAGUUCUGCAGACAGGGAACAGAACCUUCCAGACGCUUCCUGAUGGACCUGAACACUGGGAUGCUCAAGCGUGGAGUUGGCGAAAUGAACAGAAGAGUUUCAGGAUUGGAUGAGUUCAGACAAGGCACUGAGAACAAGCUGCACACCCUGCAAGAGCUCAGAAUGCGUCCCAUGAUGAGAUCGCAGUACAGCGCUCAGAGCGAAAAACACGAGCAGAGAGCAAUCCCUGCCGAGGUGUACAGAAAAUGCACUGAAACUUCUAGAAAUGUCCUGAUGGACCAGAACACCGGUCUGCUCAAAGAACACAGGAACGAGAUGGACAGGAGAGUAGGGGGCUCAGCUAAAUGGGAAGUGGUUUCUGAGCAUGAGGACACAAGAAGCCAAGACUCUUCUGAACAUAAGGAGAACCACAAAGCAGUUCCUGUUGAGAUCCGCAGGCAGGGAACAGAACCUUCCAGACGCAUCCUGAUUGACACGAACACUGGGAUGCCCAAGGAGGAACUCAGCGAAAUGAACAGAAGAGUUUCCGGCUUCUACAAUCCAGCACCUAUUGAGAAGAGGCAAGGAACAGAACCUUCCAGACGCUUCCUGAUGGACAUGGACACUGGGAUGCUCAAGCAUGAAGUUGGCGAAAUGAACAGAAGAGUUUCUGGCUUCUACAAUCCUCCAGCUUAUGAGAUGAGGAAGGGAACCCAGAAUUCUCAUGCCACUCUGGUGGAUUCCAGAACUGGACAACUGCUGCCAGCUCUAACAGAACUGCAGAGGAGCACAGAGCCAUUGGAUGAGUUCAGACAAGGCACUGAGUACCAGCCACACACCCUGCAGAAGCUCAGGAUGCAAGACUUUGUUAGACCCCAGCACAGUGCUUAGAACGUGUAUGAAAGUCACCGUGUUUAGAAUUGAUGAGACCUGGUGGACAACGUUUGGCUGUGUUCGUACCCUAUGACUGCAUGAAGACCAUCUCAGAACAUCUAGUUGACUUUACUGUUGUAUUAAGAGUUUCAUGCAAUAUUUGGAAUGACCUCACACGCAAUAUCUGCUAAAUAAAU
rnacentral:lncRNA from 1 species